rnacentral:rRNA from 1 species
UGGGGGAUAUUGCACAAUGGGCGAAAGCCUGAUGCAGCGACGCCGCGUGGGGGAUGAAGGCUUUCGGGUUGUAAACCUCUUUCGCUAUCGAACAAGGCCCGCUUAGGGUGGGUUGAGGGUAGGUGGAGAAGAAGCGCCGGCUAACUACGUGCCAGCAGCCGCGGUAAUACGUAGGGCGCGAGCGUUGUCCGGAAUUAUUGGGCGUAAAGGGCUUGUAGGCGGCUUGUUGCGCCUGCUGUGAAAACGCGGGGCUUAACUUCGCGCGUGCAGUGGGUACGGGCAGGCUUGAGUGUGGUAGGGGUGACUGGAAUUCCAGGUGUAGCGGUGGAAUGCGCAGAUAUCUGGAGGAACACCGAUGGCGAAGGCAGGUCACUGGGCCAUUACUGACGCUGAGGAGCGAAAGCAUGGGUAGCACACAGG